rnacentral:rRNA from 1 species
AACGAACGUUAGCGGCGCGCCUAACACAUGCAAGUCGCACGAGAAAGGGCUUCGGCCCCGGUAAAGUGGCGCACGGGUGAGUAACACGUGGGUAACCUGCCCUCGAGCGGGGGAUAACAUUCCGAAAGGAGUGCUAAUACCGCAUAAGACCACGACCUCGAAAGAGGUUGAGGUAAAAGCUGGCCUCUAUACAUAAGCUAGCACUUGAGGAUGGGCCCGCGGCACAUCAGGUAGUUGGUGAGGUAAUGGCUCACCAAGCCGAAGACGCGUAGCUGGGAUGAGAGGAUGAUGAGCCACACUGGAACUGAGACAAGGUCCAGACUCCUACGGGAGGCAGAAGUGGGGGAUCUUGCGCAAUGGGCGAAAGCCUGACGCAGCGACGCCGCGUGAGUGAUGAAGGCCUUCGGGUUGUAAAGCUCUGUGGGGCGAGACGAAUAAGUGCAGCCUAAUACGUUGCAUGAUGACGGUAUCGCCUUAGCAAGCACCGGCUAACUCUGUGCCAGCAGCCGCAGUAACAC